rnacentral:tRNA from 1 species
GCCCGCGUAGCUCAGUGGCAGAGCAACCGCCUUGUAAGCGGUAGGUCGCCAGUUCGAUUCUGGCCGCGGGCU